UUUUUCUCUCCGGCCGAAGAGCAGUGAUCCGAAGCAGUUCCGGUACUGUGGAGGUACCGGUAACUAGAGGCUGCCCGCAGGGAUCAAUCAGCGGCCCAUUUAUCUGGGACAUACUGAUGGAUGUACUGCUUCAGCGUCUCCAGCCGUAUUGCCAGCUGAGUGCAUACGCGGAUGACUUGCUGCUUCUCGUCGAGGGAAAUUCCCGAGCUGUGCUAGAGGAAAAAGGAGCGCAACUAAUGUCCAUCGUAGAAACGUGGGGAGCGGAAGUUGGCGUUGCCGUCUCGACCAGCAAGACGGUAAUCAUCUGCUGAAAGGUGCCUUGAGACGUGCGCCUACGGUGAGGUUUGCUGGAGCGAACCUUCCGUAUGUGCGUAGCUGUCGGUACCUUGGCAUCACGGUCAGUGAAGGAAUGAAAUUCCUCACGCACAUAGCUUCGCUUCGCCCAGCGGAUGACAGGAGUCGUUGGAGCAUUGGCGCGUGUGCUUCGAGCCGACUGGGGCUUCAGUCCCUCGAGCCAGGCGGACCAUAUAUGACGGACUCAUGGCACCUUGUGUGCUGUUUGGUGCCCCGGUAUGGUAUGACACCGCGGAACAAGUAGCUGCCCAGAGGCCGACUAGCCUCCUGCCAGAGGCUAAUCCUGCUUUGGAUGCCUUUCGGUAUGCCGAACAGUAUCCACAGUGGCACUGCAGGUACUUGGUGGAGCUCCCCCGCUUGAUCUGGCUGCUAAGUUAUUAGCGAUCAAAAUACAAGCUAAAACGUGGAUUCCCGCUGGAGGAGAACGACUGGCUUUACGGCGAGGACAUUGCGUGUCUUAGCUGGGAGCAGAGGAAGACUCGCCUAGAGGAGUGUUUAAUCCAGAGUUGGCAGAACAGAUGGGACGAUGACAGCGAACCAGGACGGGUGACGCAUAGGUUUAUCCCAUACGUCACUCUUGCCUAUCGGGAUCCAAGUUUUGGAUUCUCGAUGAGGACGUCUUUCCUGCUUACAGGGCACGGGUCGUUCAAUGCAUUUUUGCACGGGAGAGCCCUCAGCGAUACCACUGCUUGCGCAUGUGGAGAUCCAUAUGAGGACUGGAUGCAUAUCUUGUGCGCUUGCCCCCUAUAUGCAGAUCUGCGGGACCUAGAUGGACUUGGAGUGCAGCGCCUUGGCGAAAACUGGAUCUUCGAGGGAAUCCUGGAUGAUCAAGAGAAGACUCAACGGCUGGCAAUGUUUGCGGAAGAAGUGUUCCUGAGGAGGAGGGGCGUUUAGCUCAACAUCUCUGCCGUGUGGUUAGCGGGCGAGAAUACUACCACAGUCCGCUGUUGCUUGUCGUAAGAGACGACUAAUACAGCGAUAGGAUUCCUCUAACCCUGCUUGUCGGAGCAAAAGGGGGAGGCCCACCGAGCCUCUUUUCGGUACCACGGGUUGAGCAGCUAUCCAAGACUGCUCAUUGAGGUAGGCCCCCUGGUGGGAGUAUCGUGGUGGCUGUGGUUGGUACCCAUAUCGCGGGUAGAGCCUUCAUGCUCGACGUUUGAGUUACGGUGCUAGUUGCGCAAAACUCGGUGCUGUGACCCAGAGAUCAGUAGAGAUUUUAGGUAGAUCUCGCUCCUCAGCAAGGGGAGUGCUUGCCCGGCAAGCAAGUACUCGAAUUGCUACCGGGUGGUCGCUAUGUACAUAGCUAUAGCUUCUAGUCCGGGACGCUUGUCUGGCGUAUCCAGACACAUGCACCAUAUGCUCACUUGUGGGUAUAGGGUGCCGUGGUUGUAAUCCCUUCAGUGUGGAACACGCCACGUAAAAUAAGUUCGGAGGGAUCCGAAAAGCAUACAUUGUCCCUAUCUACUAUCUAGCGAAACCACAGCCAAGGGAACGGGCUUGGAAUAAUUAGCGGGAAAGAAGACCCUUUUGAGCUUGACUCUAAUCUGGCAGUGUAAGGAGACAUAAGAGGUGUAGAAUAAGUGGGAGAUAUUAGACCUCGGUUUGGUAUCGUCAAUGAAAUACCACUACUCUUAUUGUUUCCUUACUUACUUGAUUAAAUGGAACGUGUAUCAUUUCCUAGCCAUUAUACGGAUAUAUUUAUUAUAUCUUAUGGUAUUGGGUUUUGAUGCAAGCUUCUUGAUCAAAGUAUCACGAGUUUGUUAUAUAAUCGCAAACAAAUUCUUUAAUAAAACGAUGCAUUUAUGUAUUUUUGAUUUGAAAAUUUGGUAUAACUCCAAUUACUCAGGUAUGAUCCAAUUCAAGGACAUUGCCAGGUAGGGAGUUUGACUGGGGCGGUACAUCUCUCAAAUAAUAACGGAGGUGUCCCAAGGCCAGCUCAGUGCGGACAGAAACCACACAUAGAGCAAAAGGGCAAAUGCUGACUUGAUCUCGGUGUUCAGUACACACAGGGACAGCAAAAGCUCGGCCUAUCGAUCCUUUUGGUUUAAAGAGUUUUUAACAAGAGGUGUCAGAAAAGUUACCAUAGGGAUAACUGGCUUGUGGCGGCCAAGCGUUCAUAGCGACGUCGCUUUUUGAUCCUUCGAUGUCGGCUCUUCCUAUCAUUGUGAAGCAAAAUUCACCAAGCGUUGGAUUGUUCACCCAUGCAAGGGAACGUGAGCUGGGUUUAGACCGUCGUGAGACAGGUUAGUUUUACCCUACUAAUGACAAAACGUUGUUGCGACAGCAUUCCUGCGUAGUACGAGAGGAACCGCAGGUACGGACCAAUGGCACAAUACUUGUUCGAGCGAACAGUGGUAUGACGCUACGUCCGUUGGAUUAUGCCUGAACGCCUCUAAGGUCGUAUCCGUGCUGGACUGCAAUGAUAAAUAAGGGCAAUUUGCAUUGUAUGGCUUCUAAACCAUUUAAAGUUUAUAAUUUACUUUAUAAACGACAAUGGAUGUGAUGCCAAUGUAAUUUGUAACAUAGUAAAUUGGGAGGAUCUUCGAUCACCUGAUGCCGCGCUAGUUACAUAUAAAAGCAUUAUUU
rnacentral:rRNA from 1 species